rnacentral:rRNA from 1 species
GCAAGUCGAGCGAACGGACGAGAAGCUUGCUUCUCUGAUGUUAGCGGCGGACGGGUGAGUAACACGUGGAUAACCUACCUAUAAGACUGGGAUAACUUCGGGAAACCGGAGCUAAUACCGGAUAAUAUUUUGAACCGCAUGGUUCAAAAGUGAAAGACGGUCUUGCUGUCACUUAUAGAUGGAUCCGCGCUGCAUUAGCUAGUUGGUAAGGUAACGGCUUACCAAGGCAACGAUGCAUAGCCGACCUGAGAGGGUGAUCGGCCACACUGGAACUGAGACACGGUCCAGACUCCUACGGGAGGCAGCAGUAGGGAAUCUUCCGCAAUGGGCGAAAGCCUGACGGAGCAACGCCGCGUGAGUGAUGAAGGUCUUCGGAUCGUAAAACUCUGUUAUUAGGGAAGAACAUAUGUGUAAGUAACUGUGCACAUCUUGACGGUACCUAAUCAGAAAGCCACGGCUAACUACGUGCCAGCAGCCGCGGUAAUACGUAGGUGGCAAGCGUUAUCCGGAAUUAUUGGGCGUAAAGCGCGCGUAGGCGGUUUUUUAAGUCUGAUGUGAAAGCCCACGGCUCAACCGUGGAGGGUCAUUGGAAACUGGAAAACUUGAGUGCAGAAGAGGAAAGUGGAAUUCCAUGUGUAGCGGUGAAAUGCGCAGAGAUAUGGAGGAACACCAGUGGCGAAGGCGACUUUCUGGUCUGUAACUGACGCUGAUGUGCGAAAGCGUGGGGAUCAAACAGGAUUAGAUACCCUGGUAGUCCACGCCGUAAACGAUGAGUGCUAAGUGUUAGGGGGUUUCCGCCCCUUAGUGCUGCAGCUAACGCAUUAAGCACUCCGCCUGGGGAGUACGACCGCAAGGUUGAAACUCAAAGGAA